GUAAUAAUCCAUGUCUAUUACCUCAAAUAUUGUUUUGCUGUGUUGAAAUUUGAGUAUUGUUUUUAACUAUUAGAGUUUUGUAAAGAAGUUUUGUUUUCUUUGAUAAAAUGGUAACAUGUCAUAUCCUGAGGUUUUUAUGUCUAAGGAUAAGGCUUUCAUUACAUGAGGAUCUCUUACAGAGAUAGUAAAAACUAAAAUUGGGAUAGCGCGAAAAAUA
rnacentral:misc_RNA from 1 species